rnacentral:rRNA from 1 species
UUAAGCGACUAAGCGUACACGGUGGAUGCCCUGGCAGUCAGAGGCGAUGAAGGACGUGCUAAUCUGCGAUAAGCGUCGGUAAGGUGAUAUGAACCGUUAUAACCGGCGAUUUCCGAAUGGGGAAACCCAGUGUGUUUCGACACACUAUCAUUAACUGAAUCCAUAGGUUAAUGAGGCGAACCGGGGGAACUGAAACAUCUAAGUACCCCGAGGAAAAUAAAUCAACCGAGAUUCCCCCAGUAGCGGCGAGCGAACGGGGAGCAGCCCAGAGCCUGAAUCAGUGUGUGUGUUAGUGGAAGCGUCUGGAAAGGCGCGCGAUACAGGGUGACAGCCCCGUACACAAAAAUACACAUACUGUGAGCUCGAUGAGUAGGGCGGGACACGUGGUAUCCUGUCUGAAUAUGGGGGGACCAUCCUCCAAGGCUAAAUACUCCUGACUGACCGAUAGUGAACCAGUACCGUGAGGGAAAGGCGAAAAGAACCCCGGCGAGGGGAGUGAAAAAGAACCUGAAACCGUGUACGUACAAGCAGUGGGAGCACAGAGCAAUCUGUGUGACUGCGUACCUUUUGUAUAAUGGGUCAGCGACUUAUAUUCUGUAGCAAGGUUAACCGAAUAGGGGAGCCGAAGGGAAACCGAGUCUUAACUGGGCGUUAAGUUGCAGGGUAUAGACCCGAAACCCGGUGAUCUAGCCAUGGGCAGGUUGAAGGUUGGGUAACACUAACUGGAGGACCGAACCGACUAAUGUUGAAAAAUUAGCGGAUGACUUGUGGCUGGGGGUGAAAGGCCAAUCAAACCGGGAGAUAGCUGGUUCUCCCCGAAAGCUAUUUAGGUAGCGCCUCGUGAAUUCAUCUCCGGGGGUAGAGCACUGUUUCGGCAAGGGGGUCAUCCCGACUUACCAACCCGAUGCAAACUACGAAUACCGGAGAAUGUUAUCACGGGAGACACACGGCGGGUGCUAACGUCCGUCGUGAAGAGGGAAACAACCCAGACCGCCAGCUAAGGUCCCAAAGUCAUGGUUAAGUGGGAAACGAUGUGGGAAGGCCCAGACAGCCAGGAUGUUGGCUUAGAAGCAGCCAUCAUUUAAAGAAAGCGUAAUAGCUCACUGGUCGAGUCGGCCUGCGCGGAAGAUGUAACGGGGCUAAACCAUGCACCGAAGCUGCGGCAGCGACGCUUAUGCGUUGUUGGGUAGGGGAGCGUUCUGUAAGCCUGCGAAGGUGUGCUGUGAGGCAUGCUGGAGGUAUCAGAAGUGCGAAUGCUGACAUAAGUAACGAUAAAGCGGGUGAAAAGCCCGCUCGCCGGAAGACCAAGGGUUCCUGUCCAACGUUAAUCGGGGCAGGGUGAGUCGACCCCUAAGGCGAGGCCGAAAGGCGUAGUCGAUGGGAAACAGGUUAAUAUUCCUGUACUUGGUGUUACUGCGAAGGGGGGACGGAGAAGGCUAUGUUGGCCGGGCGACGGUUGUCCCGGUUUAAGCGUGUAGGCUGGUUUUCCAGGCAAAUCCGGAAAAUCAAGGCUGAGGCGUGAUGACGAGGCACUACGGUGCUGAAGCAACAAAUGCCCUGCUUCCAGGAAAAGCCUCUAAGCAUCAGGUAACAUCAAAUCGUACCCCAAACCGACACAGGUGGUCAGGUAGAGAAUACCAAGGCGCUUGAGAGAACUCGGGUGAAGGAACUAGGCAAAAUGGUGCCGUAACUUCGGGAGAAGGCACGCUGAUAUGUAGGUGAAGCGACUUGCUCGUGGAGCUGAAAUCAGUCGAAGAUACCAGCUGGCUGCAACUGUUUAUUAAAAACACAGCACUGUGCAAACACGAAAGUGGACGUAUACGGUGUGACGCCUGCCCGGUGCCGGAAGGUUAAUUGAUGGGGUUAGCGCAAGCGAAGCUCUUGAUCGAAGCCCCGGUAAACGGCGGCCGUAACUAUAACGGUCCUAAGGUAGCGAAAUUCCUUGUCGGGUAAGUUCCGACCUGCACGAAUGGCGUAAUGAUGGCCAGGCUGUCUCCACCCGAGACUCAGUGAAAUUGAACUCGCUGUGAAGAUGCAGUGUACCCGCGGCAAGACGGAAAGACCCCGUGAACCUUUACUAUAGCUUGACACUGAACAUUGAGCCUUGAUGUGUAGGAUAGGUGGGAGGCUUUGAAGUGUGGACGCCAGUCUGCAUGGAGCCGACCUUGAAAUACCACCCUUUAAUGUUUGAUGUUCUAACGUGGACCCGUAAUCCGGGUUGCGGACAGUGUCUGGUGGGUAGUUUGACUGGGGCGGUCUCCUCCUAAAGAGUAACGGAGGAGCACGAAGGUUGGCUAAUCCUGGUCGGACAUCAGGAGGUUAGUGCAAUGGCAUAAGCCAGCUUGACUGCGAGCGUGACGGCGCGAGCAGGUGCGAAAGCAGGUCAUAGUGAUCCGGUGGUUCUGAAUGGAAGGGCCAUCGCUCAACGGAUAAAAGGUACUCCGGGGAUAACAGGCUGAUACCGCCCAAGAGUUCAUAUCGACGGCGGUGUUUGGCACCUCGAUGUCGGCUCAUCACAUCCUGGGGCUGAAGUAGGUCCCAAGGGUAUGGCUGUUCGCCAUUUAAAGUGGUACGCGAGCUGGGUUUAGAACGUCGUGAGACAGUUCGGUCCCUAUCUGCCGUGGGCGCUGGAGAAUUGAGGGGGGCUGCUCCUAGUACGAGAGGACCGGAGUGGACGCAUCACUGGUGUUCGGGUUGUCAUGCCAAUGGCACUGCCCGGUAGCUAAAUGCGGAAGAGAUAAGUGCUGAAAGCAUCUAAGCACGAAACUUGCCCCGAGAUGAGUUCUCCCUGACUCCUUGAGAGUCCUGAAGGAACGUUGAAGACGACGACGUUGAUAGGCCGGGUGUGUAAGCGCAGCGAUGCGUUGAGCUAACCGGUACUAAUGAACCGUGAGGCUUAACCUU